ACUCCUGCGGGAGGCAGCAGUGGGGAAUUUUGGACAAUGGGCGAAAGCCUGAUCCAGCAAUGCCGCGUGAGUGAAGAAGGCCUUCGGGUUGUAAAGCUCUUUUGUCAGGGAAGAAACGGUGAGAGCUAAUAUCUUUUGCUAAUGACGGUACCUGAAGAAUAAGCACCGGCUAACUACGUGCCAGCAGCCGCGGUAAUACGUAGGGUGCAAGCGUUAAUCGGAAUUACUGGGCGUAAAGCGUGCGCAGGCGGUUUUGUAAGUCUGAUGUGAAAUCCCCGGGCUCAACCUGGGAAUUGCAUUGGAGACUGCAAGGCUAGAAUCUGGCAGAGGGGGGUAGAAUUCCACGUGUAGCAGUGAAAUGCGUAGAUAUGUGGAGGAACACCGAUGGCGAAGGCAGCCCCCUGGGUCAAGAUUGACGCUCAUGCACGAAAGCGUGGGGAGCAAACAGGAUUAGAUACCCUGGUAGUCCCA
rnacentral:rRNA from 1 species